rnacentral:sRNA from 2 species
UCCACUAGUUAGUUAUAUAUUGAUGCCAUCUAUAUUUUUUGCAUCAUCCACCUGCUGCACCGCGCCAUGUAUCUGGCUGCUAGCGCUUCUUUUAGGCAAUAGCAUGCAAUAUUUACAGAUUAAACAAAAAUUACAUGCAGUCAAAACUAGCCUAUUGCUUAAAAGCUAGCUAGCUAGCCUAGAAUACCGAAAUUUGCCAUCGUCCAUCUUCUGAAUAUGUUUUACCUCGAAUACAGCCGUUUUAGGUAGUAAAUAUACCUACCCUGCUAGAGGACCUUCCAACCCCGUUCCCAAAGCUCCAAUUCCUACCUCCUGUAAUCAUCUCCCACCCACGCGCAGCCACCGUUCCACAAACAAGCAGGUAAAGCCAAUACAAUGGAUCCCCUUCCACCCAACGCGGCCAUACCCAUCAUACGGAAGCAUGCAGGUACAAUACAUUCCCCAUCGCCACUGGUAACACCAGCACCACCAGCACCUACAUUCUCAUCAACCGCAUGACCACAUAUAUAACCCAAUGCAUGCGCAACCAUGACCCAUCCUACAACCCGCCGCCACAUCCACCGCGUCGUGCACCUCGCGCAUAAGCUCCUGGCCUCCGAGCGCGCAAAACAGGCCCCAAUCCUCGACCUCCUCACCCACCACAACCCCAUACAAUGACGCCGUCAUAACCCUGGCGGGCCUACUCCAAUGACAUCGGGGAUAGGAAGUAUUCUCAUUUCUCCCCUCACCUACCAGCAGCACUCCUGCGAGCACCAACGUCGUUUACGACGCGCUCCUCUCCAACGGCGCAGAUCCCUCCCCGGCCGCCAGCGUCCAAAAGGUAGUUUCGAAACGUCUCCUUCUCCACGGAAAUGAAGGACCCGGCUGUAAUCUGCCGCCUCAUUUUUUGAGGAAGGGUAUCCGGAGCUAGCUAUCGUGCAGGAAUGCAGAUAGGCUGGAUGCCCUGGGUGCAGUGGGGAUUGCGCGUUGUUUUACGUUCUUGGGCGCUAAGGGGCCGGGUCAGGGGAGCUGGGAGUUGGACGAGACGAUUAAGCAUUUUGGAGCGAAAUUGCAGAGGUUGGAGAGGAUGAUGAAGACGGAAUCUGGGAGGGCGAUAGCUAGGGUGAUGACGGUGAGGUUGAGGG